rnacentral:rRNA from 1 species
AGAACGAACGCUGGCGGCGUGGAUAAGACAUGCAAGUCGAACGGGCUUAAUUUUAGAGCAAUCUAGGGUUGAGCCAGUGGCGAACGGGUGCGUAACACGUGAGUCAUCUGCCUGAAAGUGGGGGAUAGCUCGCCGAAAGGCGAAUUAAUACCGCAUGUGGUUGUGAAACCAAAGCCGGGGCAACCUGGCGCUUUUAGAGGAGCUCGCGGCCUAUCAGCUUGUUGGUGAGGUAACAGCUUACCAAGGCAACGACGGGUAGCUGGUCUGAGAGGACGACCAGCCACACUGGAACUGAGACACGGUCCAGACACCUACGGGUGGCAGCAGUCGAGAAUUUUUCUCAAUGGGGGAAACCCUGAAGGAGCGACGCCGCGUGGAGGAUGAAGGCUUUCGGGUUGUAAACUCCUGUCAUUUGGGAACAAGUCUUACGUUACUGCGUGGAGAUUUGAUAGUACCGAAGAGGAAGAGACGGCUAACUCUGUGCCAGCAGCCGC